GUAGGUGAACCUGCGGAAGGAUCAUUACCGAGUAAGGGUCCUCUGGGCUCGACCUCCUACCCUUUGUCUACCUUACCAUUUGUUGCUUCGGCGGAUCCGUCCCCUCGGGGAUCGCCGAGGGGUCUAGGCCCCUUGGCCCGCGUCCGCCGGUGGCCCACAACCAAAACUCUUGUUUAAGCGUGUCGUCUAAGUACAAAACAAAUAAUUAAAAACUUUCAACAACGGAUCUCUUGGUUCUGGCAUCGAUGAA
rnacentral:misc_RNA from 1 species